rnacentral:rRNA from 1 species
UUCGAUUAACGCGAAGACCCUUACCCAGGCUUGAACUGCGAAUGACCACUCCCGAAAGGGAGCUUCCGCAAGGACAUUCGUAGAGGUGCUGCAUGGCUGUCGUCAGCUCGUGUCGUGAGAUGUUGGGUUAAGUCCCGCAACGAGCGCAACCCUUGUUUGCUGUUGCCAUCAGGUUAUGCUGGGCACUCUGCAAAGACUGCCGGUGACAAACCGGAGGAAGGUGGGGAUGACGUCAAGUCAGCAUGGCCUUUAUGUCUGGGGCCACACACGUGCUACAAUGGCCGGUACAAACCGUCGCGAGCCCGCAAGGGGGAGCUAAUCGGAGAAAGCCGGUCUCAGUUCGGAUAGCAGGCUGCAACUCGCCUGCUUGAAGUUGGAAUCGCUAGUAAUCGCGGAUCAGCACGCCGCGGUGAAUACGUUCCCGGGCCUUGUCACACCGAAUCACUA